UCUAAUAAUUAUUUUAUCUCUUACAUGUUACUUCUUAAUCUGUAACUGACAGAUAUCUUUUUAUGAAAUCCCUCUAGUAGAUAUAAUACUUAAGUGGAUAAUAGCUUAUUAGGAUUUAGAUCAUUACAAAAAAUUCUAAGUCUUCCCUACUAAUCUUGACAUCACUGAUCUGAUCCUCCUAAUUAACACCUUCGAAAUCACCUUAUACACAAACCCAACUAUACUAAUUGGUCAAAAGUCUUUGAUAUCCUUAACUCCAAUAAACUUAGGUGUAAGUGUCACCCACGUGAUAUUAGAAUCUGAAAGUAACCUAAAUGUCUAAAAAAAAUUCAUCAUAACUACCGUAAAUUCGGACCCAAUUUCAUCCCAACAUUUCUUAAUAAAAUUCAUGUUGUAACCAUUAUUUUCUGGCUCCUUAGAUAAUUUAUAAUUCCACACUGCCUCUCUAAUCUCCUCAACCGAAGACAUCAUCUCUAAAACUACAGAAUCUUCUUCAUCUAUCAUAUCCGUCAAUCCAUCUCUAAAAUUCAUUGUAGGAGAUAUUUUCUGAUAAUACAAGUCCUUAUAGAACUCUUUGAUAGCAAUUUUCAUUCUAGUUUGAUGCCUUACCAAUCUUCCAUUAGCAUCAAUGCUAUUAUUCUUCCUUCUUGCUGAAAUUAUGUUAUAAAAGUAUCUUAUAUUUUUGUCUAUAUCAUUUGCAUGCCAAAACUACGACAUCUGUUUUUAAUAUAUUUCUUUUUUCACAUACUAUUUCUUACAACAAAUAACUAACGUAGUUUUUUACUUUUACUGUUUCAUCAUAUAGCUUUCAAUGUCAUCUAUCUUUUCUUAUCUCUUUUUCAAACUUAAUCAUUUUCAUCUCCAUGUCACUAAAAUUAUUCUUAUACCAUCUCUCAAAAAAACUGUCAAAACCUUCCGUUUAUCUAUGAAUUGUACAUCUCUUAAACUUCUCAAUUCCUCCAUAACCAUUAUAAGAAAACCUUCUGUGUAUAAUUAAAUUAAAUUAAAUAAAUUUUAUCAUUUAACAAUAUUUUUUAAUUUAACAACACUUAUAUAAGUUCUGUAACUAUAAGCAUAAUAGAUUCCACCAAUAUAAAAUUAAAUAUAUUUAGACCUAAAUUUUACACUAAUCGCCCAUAAAAAAAAUCCAAUCCUAUUUUAUAAUAACUUUACAAGUAAUUACAAACCACAUUAAUUUACAAGCUACUAGUACCUUAUAUAUACCAUGUACUAAGGAACCCACUAUAUCUAAUAACAUAAUUAUUGAUCAACAUUAACACGGCAAAAUCACCUAGUUUAGUUGUUAUGCAAACUUAUUGCCACCCACAUUUAAUUUACAAGCUACUAUACUAUACAUACAUGGUGACCAAACUCAUCAAAGUGCUCCAAAAAAGGAAUAAAUUUUUUUUUUGGGUUUCAUACAGGAUCAAAUUCCCAAUAUGGAAUUUAAGGCUCAGAACAAGAGGAGGGCCAUUAUGAGCAAACAUAGAUAUAACUUUCAAGUUUCAAGCAAAAAAGUAUGUAUCCCUCAGUCUGUGCUUGAAGAGCACAAACAAAACAUAGAUAAAGGGAAAACAAACCCCGCCCCAAACUCCAAACUAAGAUCAUAUAAAGUGGCAAAGGGUAUCAAGAUGCAUCAACAUCAAAAAAAAAAAAAAA